rnacentral:rRNA from 1 species
UACGGGGGGGCAAGCGUUGUUCGGAAUUACUGGGCGUAAAGGGCUCGUAGGUGGCCAACUAAGUCGGACGUGAAAUCCCUCAGCUUAACUGGGGAACUGCGUCCGAUACUGGAUGGCUUGAGUUUGGGAGAGGGAUGCGGAAUUCCAGGUGUAGCGGUGAAAUGCGUAGAUAUCUGGAGGAACACCGGUGGCGAAGGCGGCAUCCUGGACCAACACUGACACUGAGGAGCGAAGCCAAGGGGAGCAAACGGG